CCACCAUUACCAAAAACAGAACAAUGUUUUGCACCCAAAAGUGUCACAAACCAACAAUCUCAUCUAUCUAGCUCCGGAAAAGACCCAUAAACUACCCCCUCAGUUUCGUAUUGCAGUGGCCGUAUUUCUUUCUCUCAUGGUUCACCAUCGUCUUGGACUAAGGAAGAUCCCAAUUUAUGUGUGAGAAAGUGGGAUAACAUUUCUAUGGAUUUUGUGGCCGGUUUUCCGAAGACAACAAGGGGGAGUGGCGCAGUAUGGGUUGUGGUGGAUAGACUGACUAAGUCAUCUUAUUUUAUUCCGAUAAAGACCACUUUCCGUUGGAGAAGUUGUCUUAUAUCUACAUCAAUGUGAUUGUGGAACUACAUGGUAUUCCGUAGAGUAUUGUUUCUGAUAUAGAUUUGAGAUUCAUGUCAAGGUUUUGGGAGAGUUUGCGGGCAUCCUUGGGAACCAAUUUGAGGUUGAGUUUCGCAUACCACCCGCAGACGAACGACCAGAGUGAGAGGAGUAUUCAAUCUUUGGAGGAUUUUUUAAGAGCUUGUGUCUUGGACCAAGGAGGCUCUUGGAAUGAUUACUUGCCUUUGAUUGGGUUUACUUGUAAUAACAGCUACCAUUCUAGUAUUGGAAUUUGAUGACUUCUCGAAAAGUAUACCGAUAAUGUCGAAGUAAUAAAAAUAUCAAAUCCACAUGUACUGCCUUCAAGCAAGACAAAACGUGCAAUGUAUAAAAAAAACUAGUAAAAAUGGGGUUUUCGAGUUUCAGUGCAAAAAGUAAAUAAACAAGUAAACAAUAUCACGAAAGAGGUCAUAUUGUGUUCUAGAAUCCCCUGUUCCUUUAUUGUUGAUGUUUGAUGCCUUGUAUGAAUGGUCUUAUCACUAUAACGCCACAGAAAAUUAACAAAACUGU